GGUGGCUCAGUGGUAGAGUGCUUGCCUGGAAUGCAUGAGGCCCUGGGUUCAAUUCCUCAGCACCA
rnacentral:tRNA from 1 species